GACGAACGCUGGCGGCGUGCCUAAUACAUGCAAGUAGAACGCUGAAGGAGGAGCUUGCUUCUCUGGAUGAGUUGCGAACGGGUGAGUAACGCGUAGGUAACCUGCCUGGUAGCGGGGGAUAACUAUUGGAAACGAUAGCUAAUACCGCAUAAUAGUAGAUGUUGCAUGACAUUUGCUUAAAAGGUGCAAUUGCAUCACUACCAGAUGGACCUGCGUUGUAUUAGCUAGUUGGUGGGGUAACGGCUCACCAAGGCGACGAUACAUAGCCGACCUGAGAGGGUGAUCGGCCACACUGGGACUGAGACACGGCCCAGACUCCUACGGGAGGCAGCAGUAGGGAAUCUUCGGCAAUGGACGGAAGUCUGACCGAGCAACGCCGCGUGAGUGAAGAAGGUUUUCGGAUCGUAAAGCUCUGUUGCAAGAGAAGAACGAGUGUGAGAGUGGAAAGUUCACACUGUGACGGUAUCUUACCAGAAAGGGACGGCUAACUACGUG
rnacentral:rRNA from 1 species